rnacentral:rRNA from 1 species
UACGAAGGGGGCGAGCGUUGUUCGGAAUUACUGGGCGUAAAGGGCGCGUAGGCGGCGAACCAAGUCAGAUGUGAAAGUCCUGGGCUUAACCUGGGGACUGCAUUUGAUACUGGUUUGCUUGAAUUCGGGAGAGGAUAGCGGAAUUCCCAGUGUAGAGGUGAAAUUCGUAGAUAUUGGGAAGAACACCGGUGGCGAAGGCGGCUAUCUGGACCGACAUUGACGCGGAGGCGCGAAAGCGUGGGGAGCAAACAGG